UCCUACGGGACGCAGCAGCGGGGGAUAUUGCCCAAUGGGGGGAACCCUGAUGCAGCGACGCCGCGUGGGUGAAGGAGUAUUUCGGUAUGUAAAGCCCUAUCGGCAGGGAAGAAUUUAGACGGUACCUGACUAAGAAGCCCCGGCUAACUACGGGCCAGCAGCCGCGGUAAUACGUAGGGGGCAAGCGUUAUCCGGAUUCACUGGGGGUAAAGGGAGCGUAGACGGCCAGGCAAGCCUGGGGGGAAAACCCGGGGCCCAACCCCGGGACUGGCCUGGG
rnacentral:rRNA from 1 species